UUUCUUUCCUAAAGAAAGAAGCAAGCAAACAAGCAAAUAAGUCAACAAGAAAACAAGGGGGGAAAGGACAAGCUAAGUUUGUUAGGGCUAGUCUUUUCUAGGACUUUAUUUCUGGCUGGCUAUGUGUUUGUUUUUGACAGGGCAGUUUCAGUUUCAGUUGUGCCUAAUGAGACAGUGGGUGGGGAUUAGCUGCAGGUGAGUCACACAGCUUGUGAGAGGGGUCACAUUCCUGAGGUGGCUCAGUUUGGAAGAAGCUCUUGAGAAAUUAAGGCUCAGACCAGGGGAGCUUUGCUUCCCGGAGCUUUGAGAACAGGAGUUUUCUAAUAGAUAUCAAAGGCAUUUUGCAUGGCGUUUAGCAGGGAAGUGUCUGGGGAGGCAUACAAAUGGUCCCCCUUUAUCAUAAAGGAGACACCCAACAUGAGAAGAAGGUGUCUAUUACCCCACGUUUGUAAUUUUCUUGGAAGACAAAGCUUAAAACCUUUAAUUAGCUGACAACUGCAACUAAGACCUAGCUUUCAGGAAACAUUUCAAUCAGGAAGAAAACAAAGAAGACAAAGAUGAAGAUGAAGAAGCAGAAGCAGCUAGCUUUCAUCUCCUAGACUUUAAAUGCUAUAAAUGAAAGGAAAAAAGCAGACAUGGAGAAGUACUUUUUAAAGAGUGACACACUUAAGAAUGCUGUUUUGCCUCCUACGGAGCUCCUUGGUGAUUAAACGUUUGGCUACGAAACCGUCAUUGCAAUUCCAUUUUAAGCUGUAGAUCUGAAACCAUUUUGUUUAUAUAUUGUUUCAAUCCAGUCCAGCAUACUUGGCAGAGCAACUGAUACAACUGCCAGAAUUUAAAAGAGAGCAGUCUCGAGAUAACUAUCAGAAGUAGAAGGAAUUCACUAUCUGCCCAGCAUGCACUGUAGCUUCAUUGGUAAGGUGUUUCUGAAGAAAAUAUAGCCUUGUGCAGAAAAUUAUUUUCAUUUCCAAGACUGUGAACCAAAAUGUAGAUUUUUCAAAUAGUGCUUUCUGUGAAUGCACUUGUUAACUCUUGUACUUAGCAAUGGCACUGUUAGGGAUGUGAUCCAAAACGAGGUCAGAACCAGUUCGGUGUCUCCAGGGGGUAGGAUAGGACUGGCAAAUGGGAUCUUUAAAAAGGAGAAGAGCAGGUCCUUACUGAGCAGGUCAGCAUGGUGUUUCUGAUCACGUAAAUGGUGCCUGCUGCACAUGGGUUCUUCAGGGGAGCACCAUCGCAACAGGAAGCUACAUGCGGCAGUGGAGGGCAGGUAAGGACCUACUCUCCUCCUUUUUAAAGAUCCUACUUGCUGCUCCCCACCCACCAGUGACGCCAAACCAGUUCGGACCUUGUCUGAACCAGUUCGGCUCCAAACCUAUGCACGAAUCUCAGUUUGUGCACAUCCCUAGGUACUGUGUGAAUUAGCCAGACCCUGUUACAAUAAUUACUUGAAUCAUCACCACAACUUAUUUCAAAAUGAACAAAUAAAUAAAUGAGGUCUGAUUUUAA